GACGAACGCUGGCGGCGUGCCUAAUACAUGCAAGUAGAACGCAGUUGCGAACGGGUGAGUAACGCGUAGGUACCUGCCUCAUAGCGGGGGAUAACUAGGGGAAACGAUAGCUAAUACCGCAUACUUUGAGAUGGACCUGCGUGGUAUUAGCUAGUUGGUGAGGUAAAGGCUCACCAAGGCGACGAUACAUGGCCGCCCUGAGAGGGGGAUGGGCCAACCGGGAACGGAAACAGGGCCCAGACCCUACCGGGAGGCAGAGGUGGGGAAUAUUGCACAAUGGGCGCAGGCCUGAUGCAGCAAUGCCGGGUGUAUGAAGAAGGCCUCGGGGUUGUAAAGUAUUUUCAGCGAGGAGGCGUUACUCGCAGAAGAAGCACCGGCUAACUCCGUGCCAGCCGCCGCGUAAUUC
rnacentral:rRNA from 1 species